rnacentral:rRNA from 1 species
CGGUAAAACCAGCACCUCAAGUGGUCAGGAUGAUUAUUGGGCCUAAAGCAUCCGUAGCCGGCUCUGUAAGUUUUCGGUUAAAUCUGUACGCUCAACGUACAGGCUGCCGGGAAUACUGCAGAGCUAGGGAGUGGGAGAGGUAGACGGUACUCGGUAGGAAGGGGUAAAAUCCUUUGAUCUAUUGAUGACCACCUGUGGCGAAGGCGGUCUACCAGAACACGUCCGACGGUGAGGGAUGAAAGCUGGGGGAGCAAACCGGAUUAGAUACCCGGGUAGUCCCAGCUGUAAACUAUGCAAACUCAGUGAUGCAUUGGCUUGUGGCCAAUGCAGUGCUGCAGGGAAGCCGUUAAGUUUGCCGCCUGGGAAGUACGUACGCAAGUAUGAAACUUAAAGGAAUUGGCGG